rnacentral:rRNA from 1 species
CAAGUCGAGCGGAACGAGUUAUCUGAACCUUCGGGGGACGAUAACGGCGUCGAGCGGCGGACGGGUGAGUAAUGCCUAGGAAAUUGCCCUGAUGUGGGGGAUAACCAUUGGAAACGAUGGCUAAUACCGCAUAAUACCUACGGGUCAAAGAGGGGGACCUUCGGGCCUCUCGCGUCAGGAUAUGCCUAGGUGGGAUUAGCUAGUUGGUGAGGUAAUGGCUCACCAAGGCGACGAUCCCUAGCUGGUCUGAGAGGAUGAUCAGCCACACUGGAACUGAGACACGGUCCAGACUCCUACGGGAGGCAGCAGUGGGGAAUAUUGCACAAUGGGCGCAAGCCUGAUGCAGCCAUGCCGCGUGUGUGAAGAAGGCCUUCGGGUUGUAAAGCACUUUCAGUCGUGAGGAAGGUAGUGUAGUUAAUAGCUGCAUUAUUUGACGUUAGCGACAGAAGAAGCACCGGCUAACUCCGUGCCAGCAGC